rnacentral:rRNA from 1 species
GACGAACGCUGGCGGCGUGCUUAACACAUGCAAGUCGAACGGAAAGGCCCUGCUUUUGUGGGGUGCUCGAGUGGCGAACGGGUGAGUAACACGUGAGUAACCUGCCCUUGACUUUGGGAUAACUUCAGGAAACUGGGGCUAAUACCGGAUAGGAGAUACUGCUGCAUGGUGGGGGUUGGAAAGUUUCGGCGGUUGGGGAUGGACUCGCGGCUUAUCAGCUUGUUGGUGGGGUAGUGGCUUACCAAGGCUUUGACGGGUAGCCGGCCUGAGAGGGUGACCGGCCACAUUGGGACUGAGAUACGGCCCAGACUCCUACGGGAGGCAGCAGUGGGGAAUAUUGCACAAUGGGCGGAAGCCUGAUGCAGCAACGCCGCGUGCGGGAUGACGGCCUUCGGGUUGUAAACCGCUUUCGCCUGUGACGAAGCGUGAGUGACGGUAAUGGGUAAAGAAGCACCGGCUAACUACGUG